AUUGAACGCUGGCGGCAGGCUUAACACAUGCAAGUCGAGCGGGGGAAGGUAGCUUGCUACCUAACCUAGCGGCGGACGGGUGAGUAAUGCUUAGGAAUCUGCCUAUUAGUGGGGGACAACAUUUCGAAAGGGAUGCUAAUACCGCAUACGCCCUAAGGGGGAAAGCAGGGGAUCUUCGGACCUUGCGCUAAUAGAUGAGCCUAAGUCGGAUUAGCUAGUUGGUGGGGUAAAGGCCUACCAAGGCGACGAUCUGCAGCGGGUCUGAGAGGAUGAGCCGCCACACUGGGACUGAGACACGGCCCAGACUCCUACGGGAGGCAGCAGGGGGGAAUAUUGGACAAUGGGGGGAACCCUGAUCCAGCCAUGCCGCGUGUGUGAAGAAGGCCUUUUGGUUGUAAAGCACUUUAAGCGAGGAGGAGGCUACCGAGAUUAAUACUCUUGGAUAGUGGACGUUACUCGCAGAAUAAGCACCGGCUAACUCUGUGCCAGCCGCCGCCGUAA
rnacentral:rRNA from 1 species